AUUGAUUAUGACGUACUUGUACUGAUUGAGAUUUUAACACGAAGUGAGUGGCGAACGGGUGAGUAACACGUGGGUAACCUGCCCAGAAGUAGGGGAUAACACCUGGAAACAGAUGCUAAUACCGUAUAACAGAGAAAACCGCAUGGUUUUCUUUUAAAAGAUGGCUCUGCUAUCACUUCUGGAUGGACCCGCGGCGUAUUAGCUAGUUGGUGAGGUAAAGGCUCACCAAGGCAGUGAUACGUAGCCGACCUGAGAGGGUAAUCGGCCACAUUGGGACUGAGACACGGCCCAGACUCCUACGGGAGGCAGCAGUAGGGAAUCUUCCACAAUGGACGCAAGUCUGAUGGAGCAACGCCGCGUGAGUGAAGAAGGGUUUCGGCUCGUAAAGCUCUGUUGUUAAAGAAGAACGUGGGUAAGAGUAACUGUUUACCCAGUGACGGUAUUUAACCAGAAAGCCACGGCUAACUACGUGCCAGCAGCCGCGGUAAUACGUAGGUGGCAAGCGUUAUCCGGAUUUAUUGGGCGUAAAGCGAGCGCAGGCGGUCUUUUAAGUCUAAUGUGAAAGCCUUCGGCUCAACCGAAGAAGUGCAUUGGAAACUGGGAGACUUGAGUGCAGAAGAGGA
rnacentral:rRNA from 1 species